rnacentral:lncRNA from 1 species
GCGAGGAAUGUCUCCAGCUGUUGCCGUGGCCGCGGCGAUCCUCCUGCUCCCAGCUGUCAAAUGCACUUGAGAAAAUCCCCUCACACCUCCUGAAGUGCCGGGAGCCCCUGGGAGGAAGACGUGACGCGCCACGGCAUUGCCAUGGUGGACCCUUCUCGCUUCCCCGCCCCCAGGCCAGCCUGCGCAGCGUCUCGCAGCUUCACUUCGUCGUCGAGAGAGAAACNGCUCUUCUUUUCAAGUCCGUCUGAUGGUUGGGUGUCCACAAAGUUCCUUUGUUAAGUAUGCAUCGGAUGAAGAGCAAAUUCAGAUUCUCCCAACAGGCGUUCCUUAGGUGGCCAAAACGGGACUAUCCAGCAGCGCAAAAGAAGCAGGGCGUUGGUGGUAGGUCCGACUCGCGUAACAAGAGAAAGAAUACGAAGGAAACAAUGAAGGCGGAGCACACUUUGAUUGUGAUGAUGGGAUCAGAC